AAGCAGAGGGGGCUUAGUGGUGGGGUGACUGCGUACCUUUUGUAUAAUGGGUCAGCGACUUAUAUUCUGUAGCAAGGUUAACCGAAUAGGGGAGCCGGAGGGAAACCGAGUCUUAAUUGGGCGUUAAGUUGCAGGGUAUAGACCCGAAACCCGGUGAUCUAGCCAUGGGCAGGUUGAAGGUUGGGUAACACUAACUGGAGGACCGAACCGACUAAUGUUGAAAAAUUAGCGGAUGACCUGUGGCUGGGGGUGAAAGGCCAAUCAAACCGGGAGAUAGCUGGUUCUCCCCGAAAGCUAUUUAGGUAGCGCCUCGUGAACUCAUCUCCGGGGGUAGAGCACUGUUUCGGCUAGGGGGCCAUCCCGGCUUACCAACCCGAUGCAAACUGCGAAUACCGGAGAAUGUUAUCACGGGAGACACACGGCGGGUGCUAACGUCCGUCGUGAAGAGGGAAACAACCCAGACCGCCAGCUAAGGUCCCAAAGUCAUGGUUAAGUGGGAAACGAUGUGGGAAGGCCCAGACAGCCAGGAUGUUGGCUUAGAAGCAGCCAUCAUUUAAAGAAAGCGUAAUAGCUCACUGGUCGAGUCGGCCUGCGCGGAAGAUGUAACGGGGCUAAACCAUGCACCGAAGCUGCGGCAGCGAACGUAUCACCCAAGACAACUUUACGGAGUUGACGAUUGACGGAGCGAAGCGACGUCAAAGCGUUCAUUAAAGUCGAGUUGGCUUAGGGAUACGUUCGUUGGGUAGGGGAGCGUUCUGUAAGCCUGUGAAGGUGGCCUGUGAGGGUUGCUGGAGGUAUCAGAAGUGCGAAUGCUGACAUAAGUAACGAUAAAGCGGGUGAAAAGCCCGCUCGCCGGAAGACCAAGGGUUCCUGUCCAACGUUAAUCGGGGCAGGGUGAGUCGACCCCUAAGGCGAGGCCGAAAGGCGUAGUCGAUGGGAAACGGGUUAAUAUUCCCGUACUUGGUGUUACUGCGAAGGGGGGACGGAGAAGGCUAUGUUGGCCGGGCGACGGUUGUCCCGGUUUAAGCGUGUAGGCUGGUUUUCCAGGCAAAUCCGGAAAAUCAAGGCUGAGGCGUGACGACGAGGCACUACGGUGCUGAAGCAACAAAUGCCCUGCUUCCAGGAAAAGCCUCUAAGCAUCAGGUAACAUCAAAUCGUACCCCAAACCGACACAGGUGGUCAGGUAGAGAAUACCAAGGCGCUUGAGAGAACUCGGGUGAAGGAACUAGGCAAAAUGGUGCCGUAACUUCGGGAGAAGGCACGCUGACA
rnacentral:rRNA from 1 species